rnacentral:rRNA from 2 species
GUUGUAUGGUUAAGCGACUAAGCGUAUACGGUGGAUGCCUUGGCAGUCAGAGGCGAUGAAGGACGUGUUAAUCUGCGAUAAGCUCAGUUAAGUCGAUAAAAGGCGUUACAGACUGAGAUUUCCGAAUGGGGCAACCCAAUCACAUAAGUGAUUAUCAUACAGUGAAUACAUAGCUGUGUGAGGCGAACGUGGGGAACUGAAACAUCUAAGUACCCAUAGGAAAAGAAAUCAACCGAGAUUCCCCUAGUAGCGGCGAGCGAACGGGGAUUAGCCCUUAAGUCUUUGGGGUGUUAGUGGAAUACGUUGGAAAGCGUAGCGGCACAGGGUGAUAGCCCCGUACACGAAAACUAACCGAAGAUGAAAACGAGUAGGACGGCACACGUGACAUGUUGUCUGAACAUGGGGGGACCAUCCUCCAAGGCUAAAUACUCCUGACUGACCGAUAGUGAACCAGUACCGUGAGGGAAAGGCGAAAAGAACCCCUGUGAGGGGAGUGAAAUAGAACCUGAAACCGUAUACGUACAAGCAGUGGGAGCGG